CCUACGGGCGGCAGCAGUGGGGAAUAUUGCACAUUGGGGGAAACCCUGAUGCAGCGAUGCCGCGUGAGUGAAGAAGUAUUUCGGUACGUAAAGCUCUAUCAGCUGGGAAGAAAAACAGUCCUUUGGACUUUGGACGGUACCUGACUAAGAAGCCCCGGCUAACUACGUGCCAGCAGCCGCGGUACUACGUAGGGGGCAAGCGUUAUCCGGAUUGACUGGGUGUAAAGGGCGCGUAGACGGCAGCGCAAGUCUGGAGUGAAAUGCCGGUGCGCAACCCCGGAACUGCUUGGGAAACUGUGCAGCUGGAGUGCAGGAGAGGUAAGCGGAAUUCCUAGUGUAGCGGUGAAAUGCGUAGAUAUUAGGAGGAACACCAGUGGCGAAGGCGGCUGACUGGACUGUAACUGACGUUGAGGCUCGAAAGCGUGGGGAGCAAACAGGAUGAGAUACCCCGGUAGUC
rnacentral:rRNA from 1 species